UACGUAGGAGGCGAGCGUUGUCCGGAGUUACUGGGCGUAAAGGGUGCGUAGGCGGUUUGGUAAGUCUGAUGUGAAAUCUAUGGGCUCAACUCAUAGUCUGCAUCGGAAACUGCCGGGCUUGAGUGUGGGAGAGGUGAGUGGAAUUCCUGGUGUAGCGGUGAAAUGCGUAGAUAUCAGGAGGAACACCUGUGGCGAAAGCGGCUCACUGGACCAUAACUGACGCUGAUGCACGAAAGCUAGGGGGAGCAAACAGG
rnacentral:rRNA from 1 species